rnacentral:pre_miRNA from 1 species
GUGGGUACAAGAAAUCUACUUUAUUCAGCACACUAACCUAAUUUCCGAGACAUGUUACAUACCUGAAACAUGUCUUAGAAAUUAGGAUUUUUCUUGGUUUGUGUGCUGAACAAAGUAGAUUUCUUGUACCCA